rnacentral:misc_RNA from 1 species
UGAGGCUUUGGGAGCUUUGCCUCUUUAUCAGCGUACACUCCCUUAAAGAAAUCUCAUAUCCCUUGAAACUUUUUCCAUUGAGAAUAACUACUGUACUGGUUGUAGAUCUCCGUGUCGGAGAUAGAAAUAACAGGAUGUUUGUUUGCUUCUAUGAUCCAAUACUUCCAAGUUAGUCAUCCUGUGGGCUUUGUCAUUGUAAACCUAUAUUUUUUCAUAUGGGACGUAGAUUUUCACCAAAGCUCCCAUAUUGCUCUGGUUUGACAGGUUUUAUUGUUUUUCCGAGUAUUAUAUACAUCCUGGAACGUAAUUUUUUGCUUCA